rnacentral:rRNA from 1 species
GGGAAACUGGGUCUAAUACUGGAUACGACCGAUCUCCGCAUGGAGUGUUGGUGGAAAGUUUUUGUGGUGGGGGAUGGACUCGCGGCCUAUCAGCUUGUUGGUGGGGUAAUGGCCUACCAAGGCGACGACGGGUAGCCGGCCUGAGAGGGCGACCGGCCACACUGGGACUGAGACACGGCCCAGACUCCUACGGGAGGCAGCAGUGGGGAAUAUUGCACAAUGGGCGAAAGCCUGAUGCAGCGACGCCGCGUGAGGGAUGACGGCCUUCGGGUUGUAAACCUCUUUCACCAGGGACGAAGCUAACGUGACGGUACCUGGAGAAGAAGCACCGGCUAACUACGUGCCAGCAGCCGCGGUAAUACGUAGGGUGCGAGCGUUGUCCGGAAUUAUUGGGCGUAAAGAGCUUGUAGGCGGUCUGUCGCGUCUGCUGUGAAAGACCGGGGCUUAACUCCGGUUCUGCAGUGGGUACGGGCAGACUAGAGUGUGGUAGGGGAGACUGGAAUUCCUGGUGUAGCGGUGAAAUGCGCAGAUAUCAGGAGGAACACCGAUGGCGAAGGCAGGUCUCUGGGCCAUUACUGACGCUGAGAAGCUAAAG